rnacentral:sRNA from 1 species
CUGAGAGCAUGGGGUCCUCUGUUUUAUCUACAGAACAGAUACAGCAUGGGCAGCAGCAGUGUAAGCUUCCCCCACUACCCCAGCAAUUACUAAUCUUAUUUAUUACAUGUACUAGGGUGGUGCCUAGAGGCCAGGGCCCUCAUGGUGCUAGGCAUUG